AGAGAAUGGUGUGGACCCGGGAGGUGGAGCUUGCAGUGAGCCAAGAUUGCGCCAUUGCAUUCCAGCCUGGGCGACAUAG
rnacentral:snRNA from 1 species